rnacentral:tRNA from 1 species
UCCUUGGUGGUCCAGUGUCUGGGGCGUCGCACUCCCAAUGCAGGGGCUCAGGUUUGAUCCCUGAUUAGGGAA